rnacentral:rRNA from 1 species
GUAACGGCGAGUGAACGGAGAUUAGCCCAGCACCGAAGCCUAUCCGCGUUUGUGGACAGGGCAAUGUGGUGUUUAAGCGUGUGCCUUUGAACCGCUCGUCUACUCGAAGUCCAACUCCGAUUAUGGCAUUGGAUAUUGUCCUUAGAGGGUGAUAGACCCGUCCGAGUAGAUGUGUAUUCAUGAUUGAGCGGCUCUUAGAUGCAUGCGCUUUGGAGUCGGAUUGCUUGAGAAUGCAGUCCAAAGUGGGUGGUAAACUCCAUCCAAGGCUAAAUACUGGCACGAGUCCGAUAGUAAACAAGUACCGUGAGGGAAAGUUGAAAAGUACUCUGAAGAGAGAGUAAAUAGUACGUGAAGCCGCCUGUAGGGAAGCUGGUGGAGUCAAGCUCUGUGCCUGAAUGAUUAAUUAUGAGUGAGUUGUAUUGUAUUUGGCAUUGUUGAUCGAUGGAUCUGGAAAUGUUUCGAUGGGUUCGCGCUCAUUCAAAGCAUUACUGGUCAGUAUGUUUUGGUCGGUCAAACAGUGUGUCCUCACUUGUGUUCUAUCAUCAGGCUGCCAUCACGGUUGGUACAUGCUUUGGUGUAUGGCUUCCAAACUGUGCUCAUGUGGGCCUUCAAGUCUGCUGGGUACAGGAUGGCAGGUCACUGUGUAUGUUGGCCUUGUGUCGGCGUUGCAGUGCAAAGAUUAAAGCCGGGAGCCAUUUGCUGUUUGUUUUACUAUUGCAUGUACCAUUUCAUGGUGCUGGCCGUGUCCAUAUCAAUUGGUAGCGGUCAGUGAG